UACGGAGGGUGCAAGCGUUAUCCGGAUUUACUGGGUUUAAAGGGUGCGUAGGUGGGUCUGUAAGUCAGUGGUGAAAUCUUCGAGCUUAACUCGGAAACUGCCAUUGAUACUAUAGGUCUUGAAUCAUCUGGAGGUGAGCGGAAUAUGUCAUGUAGCGGUGAAAUGCUUAGAUAUGACAUAGAACACCGAUUGCGAAGGCAGCUCACUACGGAUGUAUUGACACUGAGGCACGAAAAGCGUGGGGAGCAAACAGG
rnacentral:rRNA from 1 species